CCUACGGGAGGCAGCAGUAGGGAAUCUUCCACAAUGGGCGAAAGCCUGAUGGAGCAACGCCGCGUGGGUGAAGAAGGUCUUCGGAUCGUAAAACCCUGUUGUCAGAGAAGAAAGUGCGUGAGAGUAACUGUUCACGUUUCGACGGUAUCUAACCAGAAAGCCACGGCUAACUACGUGCCAGCAGCCGCGGUAAUACGGAGGUGGCAAGCGUUAUCCUGAUUUAGUGGGCGUAAAGGGAACGCAGGCGGUCUUUUAAGUCUGAUGUGAAAGCCUUCGGCUUAACCGGAGUAGUGCAUUGGAAACUGGGCGGCUUGAGUGCAGAAGAGGAGGGUGGAACUCCAUGUGUAGCGGUGAAAUGCGUAGAUAUAUGGAAGAACACCAGUGGCGAAGGCGGCUCUCUGGUCUGUGACUGACGCUGAGGUUCGAAAGCGUGGGUAGCAAACAGGAUUAGAUACCCCUGUAGUC
rnacentral:rRNA from 1 species